UCCCUGGUAGCUCAGACGGUAAAGCGUCUGCCUAAAACGCGGGAGAUCCAGGUUCGAUCCCUGGGUAGGGAA
rnacentral:tRNA from 1 species